UGGGGAAUAUUGGGGCAAUGGGGGCGAAAGCCUGACCCAGCAACGCCGCGUGAAGGAAGAAGGUUUUCGGAUUGUAAACUUCUUUUAUCAGGGACGAAGAAAGUGACGGUACCUGAUGAAUAAGCCACGGCUAACUACGUGCCAGCAGCCGCGGUAAUACGUAGGUGGCAAGCGUUAUCCGGAUUUACUGGGUGUAAAGGGCGAGUAGGCGGAUUGGCAAGUUGGGAGUGAAAUGUCGGGGCUUAACCCCGGAACUGUUUCCAAACUGUUGAUCUUGAGUGAUGGAGAGGCAGGCGGAAUUCCCAGUGUAGCGGUGAAAUGCGUAGAUAUUGGGAGGAACACCAGUGGCGAAGGCGGCCUGCUGGGACAUUAACUGACGCUGAGGAGCGAAAGCGUGGGGAGCAAACAGGAUUAGAUACCCUGGUAGU
rnacentral:rRNA from 1 species